rnacentral:rRNA from 3 species
AAAUUGAAGAGUUUGAUCAUGGCUCAGAUUGAACGCUGGCGGCAGGCCUAACACAUGCAAGUCGAACGGUAACAGGAAGCAGCUUGCUGCUUCGCUGACGAGUGGCGGACGGGUGAGUAAUGUCUGGGAAACUGCCUGAUGGAGGGGGAUAACUACUGGAAACGGUAGCUAAUACCGCAUAACGUCGCAAGACCAAA